CGGAGUCGGAAAAACAACAGUUCGCAAACAGUUAUGUUACACUUACAGUAAAACGUAUGUAUGUACGUGCUUUUCGAAACACUUGUAGACUAGACCAAACCAGACCAGACCCUUAUGCUACUCAUGGUUACUCAUUCUUGGACACACAACAAUUGACACUUUUCGGCCAUCGUAUGCCUAGCGGCUGCCCUUGAACGGAAAAACCUUGACAGACACCGAGCGAGAGAAGGAGAGAGAUAUGAGUAGUGCGAGAGCCCGAGAGCGAGAGCGGGCGAGCAGGUCGCUAUUUGAAAAAGAGCCUGCGCAAGAGAGAGACGGCACCACAGCCACCAGCACAGGUAGAAGCAGCAGCCACAGCCACAGCCUCAGAAUUCCAUUCCUAAUCACGUCCUUGACCUUUUCCAUUUUCACUUGUUGUUGGACUGCUGCUGCUGCUGCUGCUGCUGCUGUGGAAAAUCGAUGCCCGCCGCAAAAAGAACUUCUGGCGAUUCGUCCAAAGUCCAUUCCCAUUCCCAGCCACAGGCACAGCUCCAUUUGGUCAUAUUUGGUAUGCAUGGCGGAGCCUUCUAUUAUGUAAACGAGUAAAACUACAUAAAUUAAGGUAAAACCAACCAAGUCAGACCGACUGACGGACAAUUGCCCGGCCGUUGACGUCGGCUGAGCAUAACAGUUUUAUAUUUAGUUUGCCUUUUUACACCUUCACACGCCAACACACACGCACACUGAAACACAGAGAAAACGCAUUAAAAAAAUGUAAAAACCCAGAAGCCAACAAACAGAACAGUGGCGGUGUGGCUCCCCCAUGUAGGGUCAGCAGAGGCAGAGGUCGAGCAUCGGUGACAAGAUCUAUAGCAGGAAACUCCCUGGCUAUGCCCUUGAAAGAGAUGUUCUACUCUGCUAAGCAUUUAAUGGCCGAAAAUACUUGUUAGCCGAGAAGAAAAGCAUCUUCCAACUGAAAAGAAAGCGUGCAACGGAAAGAGAGGGACAUGCCAGAGGGACUGGCAAUGUACGAGUAAGUGUUGUUGCAAGUGUCUCCUCUGUGCCUAGGUGUCUGGGAAGCACCCACCCCCCUCCCUGGCCACGAUUCAAGACGCUAGAGACGAAACAGAGCGUACCCAUGGCUUGCUCAUUAUGCUGGCCAUUCUCAUUACAUGCUGAUGGCUUAGAUAAAUACAUACAUAUAUACAUACAUA